CGAAACUAAGUGAGCUACUUUAAAGCAGCUAUUAGAGCUAACCCAUCUCUGUCGCAAAAGAGUGGGAUGACUUUUAAGUAGAGGUGAUAGACCUACCGAACUUAGAGAUAGCUGGUUUUUUAAGAAAAGAAUUUUAGUUCAGCCCCAAGCCUCUUAUUAAAUAAAAAAUUUCUUUAGGCUUGGGAGUUAUUCAAAUAAGGCACAGCUUAUUUGAAACAGAAUACAACCUAGAACACAGGGUAAGUGGUUAAAUUUUUAACAAGUGGGCCUAAAAGCAGCCACCUUUCAAAAAGCGUCAAAGCUUAAUAAUAAUAAUUUGCCUAAUAACCUCAACAACCCCGAACCCGCACACACUAUUAAAUUACCCCAUAAAAUUAUGGGAGCUAUUAUGCUAGAACGAGUAACAAGAAAAUGACUUUCUCCAAAAUGUAAGCUUCAGCCACAAUAGACUAACUACCGGCAAUCAACGCCUCUGAGCUAACUGUAGCAACAUGACAAGAAAACCCUAGAAGCCACAGCGUUAACC
rnacentral:rRNA from 1 species